AGUCCAUGAUGUGGACAAAGUCGCAUCAUAUCCUUGUAUCUUUCCCAAGCGUCGAAAAUAGAUUCAUUCUCUUUUUGCUUAAUUUUGUUGAUUUGAGCUCUUAGUAU